GGAUAUGAGGGCGAUCUGGCUGCGACACCUGUCCCCCCACUGACCACCAGGGUUGAUUCGGCUGAUCUGGCUGGCUAGGCGGGUGUCCCCUUCCUCCCUCAAUGAUCCAUGUGCGUCCCUCCUGAAGCUGCACGCUCAGUCGAAGAGGACGACCACCCCCGAUAGAGGAGGACUGGUCCUCAGUCAACGGUAUAUAAGUAACUGCACUCCCCUGCUAGAACCUCCAAACAAGCUCUCGCAACAGUAAAGAUUAGGUGAGGAAAUAAGUAUGAUCUGCUUAGGGCAACAUACAGUGUACCAUGGCUAGCUUCUAUCUCU
rfam:Cavia porcellus supercont2_58 genomic scaffold, whole genome shotgun sequence.